AUGGCGGCCGACCCCUCCGCGGCUGCGGCGCCCGCCGACCCCGAUGGCCCGGACGCGGUUCGCUUCACAUGGAACGCCUGGCCCCGGUCCAAGGUUGAAGCCAGCCGCUGCGUCGUCCCGCUCGCCGCCGCCAUCUCCCCGGUCCGCUCCCCCGAGUCCCUCGCGUCGCCGCCCCUUCCCUACCCGCCACUCCGCUGCAAGCCGCCUUGCUCUGCGCUCCUCAACCCCUUCGCCCGUGUCGACUUCACCGCCAAGAUCUGGAUCUGCCCGCUCUGCUUCUCGCGCAACCACUUCCCCCCGCACUACGCCGGCAUCUCCGAGAACAACGUGCCCGCCGAGCUCUUCACACAAUGCUCCACCGUCGAGUACCUCGUCGCCGGACCCCCGGGAUCUCCUGCACCGCUGCCGCCAGUGUUCCUGUUCGUCAUCGACACCUGCGUCAUCGAGGAAGAACUGGAGUACGUCAAGCUGUCCAUGCGGAAGGCGGUCGCGCUUCUGCCGGAGCACGCACUUGUUGGCCUGGUGACCUUCGGGACGCAGGUGCAUCUGCACGAGCUUGGGUUCUCCGAGCUCAGCAAGAUCUACGUGUUCCGGGGGAGCAAGGAGAUCUCCAAAGAGCAGAUUUUGGAUCAGCUUGGGUUAUCAGGCGGGGGGCGGCCAGGGUUCCCAAAGAUGACACAGCAGCCAGGCGUGCAACAGGUCAAUGGGAUGCAUCCAUUAGUCACGACAGGGGUUAACAGGUUCUUGCUCCCGGUAUCAGAGUGCGAGUGCACGCUCAGCACGCUGCUGGACGAGUUGCAGCCUGACCAGUGGCCGGUUGAGGCUGGCAACCGUGCCAUCAGGUGCACGGGUGUUGCGCUAAAUGUGGCGGCUGGGUUGCUUGGGGCAUGCGUGCCUGGGACUGGUGCAAGGAUUAUUGCGCUACUUGGCGGGCCAUGUACCGAAGGUCCUGGAGUGAUUGUAUCAAAAGAUUUGUCUGAGCCAGUUAGAUCACACAAGGAUCUUGAUAAGGAUGCGGCGCCUCAUUUCCAGAAAGCCGUCAAAUUUUACGAUGGCCUUGCCAAACAAUUGGUCAGUCAAGGUCAUGUUCUAGAUGUGUUUGCAUCUGCUCUUGAUCAGGUUGGACUAGCUGAGAUGAAGCUUGCUAUUGAGAGAACAGGCGGCCUUGUUGUCUUAUCUGAGAGUUUUGGGCAUUCUGUGUUUAAGGAUUCUUUUAAACGUAUUUUCGAGGGAGGUGAACAUUCAUUGGGCCUGUCAUUCAAUGGCACAUUUGAAAUAAACUGUUCGAAGGACAUUAAAGUUCAGGGUGUUAUUGGACCGUGUACAUCUUUGGAGAAGAAAGGAGCUUUAUGUGCAGACACAAUUGUCGGACAGGGAAACACAACAGCAUGGAAAAUGUGUGGGCUUGAUAGGAAUACUUCACUUACAGUAUUUUUUGAUGUCUCACCGAGUGAACGCUCUGGCCAACCAGGUCAUCAAAAUCCCGAUUUGUACAUACAGUUUGUAACCAGAUCCUUUUGUAGUUACCAACACCCGGAAGGUCAAAUGAGAAUAAGAGCUACUACUGUAUCCAGAAAAUGGGUGGAUGGUUCUACCAAUACCGAGGAACUAGUCGAAGGAUUUGACCAGGAAACUGCAGCUGUUGUGUUGGCAAGAUACAUCUCCUUGAAAAUGGAAAUAGAGGAAGAGUUUGAUGCAACACGGUGGCUUGAUAGAUCUCUCAUACGACUAUGUUCAAGAUUUGGGGAUUAUCGGAAGGAUGACCCCUCUUCAUUUAGCCUACAUUCUAAUUUCUCACUGUUUCCUCAGUUUAUGUUUAAUCUCCGGCGUUCGCAAUUUGUUCAGGUUUUCAAUAACAGUCCAGAUGAAACAGCCUAUUUCCGAAUGUUACUCAACCGAGAGAGUGUCACUAAUUCAGUUGCAAUGAUUCAGCCGUCAUUAAUUUCAUUUUCUUUCGAUUCACCUCCUUCUCCUGUAUUCCUCGAUGUGGCAUCAAUAGCAGUAGAUCGUAUACUGCUGCUUGAUGCAUACUUCAGUGUUGUCAUCUUCCAUGGAAUGACAAUCGCUCAGUGGAGAAACAUGUGUUAUCAGAAUCAGCCGGAGCAUCAGCAAUUCGCACAAUUAUUACAAGCUCCUCAGGAGGAGGCCCAGGUGAUAAUAAAUGGUCGAUUUCCAGUUCCUCGACUAGUUGUCUGUGACCAACAUGGCUCCCAGGCAAGGUUCUUGUUAGCAAAACUGAAUCCAUCGGCCACAUAUAAUUCAGCACAUGAUGUUCCACCAGGUUCUGACAUCAUCUUCACCGAUGAUGUCAGCUUCCAGGUCUUCUGUGAGCAUCUACAAAGGCUGGCUGUUCAGUCGUAA
rnacentral:rRNA from 1 species